GGCGAACGGGUGAGUAACGCGUGGGUGAUCUACCUUCGAGUGGGGAAUAACAGCGGGAAACUGCUGCUAAUACCGCAUGACAUCCUCGAGUCACAUCGGGGAUCAAAGCCGGGGACCGCAAGGCCUGGCGCUUGAAGAUGAGCCCGCGUCCGAUUAGCUAGUAGGCGGGGUAACGGCCCACCUAGGCGACGAUCGGUAGCCGGCCUGAGAGGGCGGACGGCCACACUGGGACUGAGACACGGCCCAGACUCCUACGGGAGGCAGCAGUGGGGAAUUUUUCGCAAUGGGGGAAACCCUGACGAAGCAACGCCGCGUGGAGGAUGAAGGCCUUCGGGUCGUAAACUCCUGUCGACCGGGAAGAAUGCACCCGACCUAAUACGUCGAAGUGUUGACUGUA
rnacentral:rRNA from 1 species